UAGGGAAUCUUCGGCAAUGGACGAAAGUCUGACCGAGCAACGCCGCGUGAGUGAAGAAGGUUUUCGGAUCGUAAAACUCUGUUGUUAGAGAAGAACAAGGACGUUAGUAACUGAACGUCCCCUGACGGUAUCUAACCAGAAAGCCACGGCUAACUACGUGCCAGCAGCCGCGGUAAUACGUAGGUGGCAAGCGUUGUCCGGAUUUAUUGGGCGUAAAGCGCACGCAGGCGGUCUGUCAAGUCGGAUGUGAAAUCCCCGGGCUCAACCUGGGAACUGCAUCUGAUACUGGCAAGCUUGAGUGUCGUAGAGGGGGGUAGAAUUCCAGGUGUAGCGGUGAAAUGCGUAGAGAUCUGGAGGAAUACCGGUGGCGAAGGCGGCCCCCUGGACGAAGACUGACGCUCAGGUGCGAAAGCGUGGGGAGCAAACAGG
rnacentral:rRNA from 1 species